AGUGAACGCUGGCGGUAGGCCUAACACAUGCAAGUCGAACGGCAGCACAGUAAGAGCUUGCUCUUACGGGUGGCGAGUGGCGGACGGGUGAGGAAUACAUCGGAAUCUACUUUUUCGUGGGGGAUAACGUAGGGAAACUUACGCUAAUACCGCAUACGACCUACGGGUGAAAGCAGGGGAUCUUCGGACCUUGCGCGAUUGAAUGAGCCGAUGUCGGAUUAGCUAGUUGGCGGGGUGAAGGCCCACCAAGGCGACGAUCCGUAGCUGGUCUGAGAGGAUGAUCAGCCACACUGGCACUGAGACACGGUCCAGACUCCUACGGGAGGCAGCAGUGGGGAAUAUUGGACAAUGGGCGCAAGCCUGAUCCAGCCAUACCGCGUGGGUGAAGAAGGCCUUCGGGUUGUAAAGCCCUUUUGUUGGGAAAGAAAAGCAGCAGGUUAAUACCCCGCUGUUCUGACGGUACCCAAAGAAUAAGCACCGGCUAACUUCGUG
rnacentral:rRNA from 1 species